rnacentral:rRNA from 1 species
UGAAGGUUGGUACUUGUACCAACUGGAUGAGCAGCGAACGGGUGAGUAACGCGUGGGGGAAUCUGCCUUUGAGCGGGGACAACAUUUGGAAACGAAUGCUAAUACCGCAUAAAAACUUUAAACACAAGUUUUAAGUUUGAAAGAUGCAAUUGCAUCACUCAAAGAUGGUCCCGCGGUGCAUUAGCUAGUUGGUAAGGUAAUGGCUUACCAAGGCGAUGAUACAUAGCCGACCUGAGAGGGUGAUCGGCCACAUUGGGACUGAGACACGGCCCAAACUCC